rfam:Scleropages formosus scaffold21906, whole genome shotgun sequence.
GCUCAUGGCUACACCAUCAUGAAAGCUCCUGUUCUCGUAAGAUCUCAGAAAUUAAACAACUUUAGGCCUGGUUUGUCUUUGGCUGGGAGACCUCCUGAGAAUCCCAGAUGCUGUAAGCU